UACGGAGGGUGCAAGCGUUGUCCGGAAUCACUGGGCGUAAAGGGCGCGUAGGCGGCUCAUGAAGGCUGUGGUGAAAGUCCGGGGCUCAACCUCGGAUCGGCCGUGGCGACUCGUGGGCUGGAGCACUGUAGAGGCGGGUGGAAUUCCGUGGUGAGCGGUGGAAUGCGUAGAGAUCCGGAAGAACACCAGUGGCGAAGGCGGCCCGCUGGGCAGUGGCUGACGCUGAGGCGCGACAGCGUGGGGAGCAAACAGG
rnacentral:rRNA from 1 species